rnacentral:lncRNA from 1 species
CCGAGAUGAUCAUGGCCCAGUGGCCAUGCCUUGCGACAAAGUUCACCUUGGCAUCAAGGGUUCAAUCUCUCCUCUGCUCCAAUGGAAGGAGCCUCCCCUUCUUGGGGUUAAUGGGCUAACGGGCCGGCCCGUUGUGGCCCGAAGUUGACAAAAAAAAAGAUAUAAGGGAGACUUUUCUGGAAAAACAUGGAAGCUAUAGGUACACAUAAAUCUGUAGUAGAGUAUAAAAACGAUUAUGAAAAGACAAAAUACUGAAUUUAAAAUGUUGUUAACAAGUAAAAUUUCGUUAGAAUAAAUUUAAUAUUAUGUUACUUCACUUUUUAUAUUAUCAUCGUGAGUAUAUGACACAUAUUUUUUGCUUUAAGUAUUUUUUGUUUUGUUUUGAGAAAAGACUUAAUGUAAAAAAAUUGUUUUCAAAAAAUUCGUAUUGAUAAUUUUGUGUUUUGAAAUCCGUUAAAUAAAACUGAUAAGAAAAUAAAAUAUGUCAAGGGCACUCGCUUAUAUAUAUAUACACAUUUGCUACAAAUACUAAUAUUUCAUAUUUUGGCGGAGAAUGAACUCUGAUUUAUCACCAACUAUGGGAAUUUAUUAAUGUUAUAUUUAGAAGUUGCUCAAAAAAAAUAAUGUUAUGUUUAGCAUAAGAUUUGCAACAUGACCAAUCAUAUUUUGGUCAAAAGAACCAAUCAUAUCCCGAGACCAUCAGCUGAUAUGACGUCAUGUUGUAGCAAAACAAGAUAAGAAAAAGUUGCUCAAGAGGGAGGACACGUGCAUGAAGAAGAGCUUUUCACAUGUCACAUGCAAACACUUUUGUUUCCAAGGAUUUUCUUGAAUUUUUUUUAUGAACUUAAAUUUACAAGUAGUUAACUUUAUAUUAUAGUAACAGAUGAAAUAUUUUUUCAUACGAUUGUCAUAUAUUGACACAUAUAAUAUUUUGUUUGCAGUAGCAACUUUGAAUCAGAAAAUGGAGGUGAUGUGCUUAAUGUCAAUUUUGUUUCUGUUUCUGGAUUUAGCAUAAGUAUCCAUUUGGUUGACAGAUUAUUUGGACAAAUUCCAUUAAAGGCAUUUAAAUUUAGUUGACAGAAACGUCAUUUAAAAAUUCAUUUUAUAGAUUACAUAUACUGUUUUUAACAAAAAAAUGUUUUAAUCAUAUACCAAAAUUUCGGCGACACUUAUUUGUCAUAUAUACAGGUGUCUUCUACGAUCUUAUGAAAGUAUAAGAAGAAAAAAAUCUCUUACAUACUUGUAUUUACGAUGUUUUUUUUUUUUUUUUUGCUUAAAUUUGGUUGUAUUUACGAUGUUUGAACAUGCCAUACAGACUUUAUCCUUUUACUGAUUUGAUACUUUAAAAUUUCUUUUAUUGAUUCUUUGCUCUAGUCAUGAUCUCAGCUGCACUCCUUUCUUCCUCCAAGUUUUGUACUUUUCCCUCGGAUAAUACAGUUGUUGAGUAGUGGAAGUCAUCACCGACGAUUCCAACUUCAAAGAACCGAUAGCGUUACCCAUUCUCAGAUCAGAAUGAUCCCAAGUAUAUGUGUGAAUAUAUACACACAUGAAAUGGUUUGGUUUGUAUUGUAUUGAGUUCGUUAAACGGUUCCAUCCUUUACUUUAUCGAUUGUUCAUUCAUAUAUACAAACUAAAUAGUAUAUAAUAAACGUAAAAAAAAAAAACAUUUGUUUUCUUAUUCCAUAAACGAAUAUCUAAGUAAAUACAAAUUCGUUUUGAAGGGAAAAUUAUAGAGUAAACUAAUUUGAACGUUUGAUCUUUGAGAAAUUUCAGAAAGUUUAUAUGUUUGAUUGGUAUGAGAAAAUAAGAAAAGUCUCCAAAUUAACUACUUACAUGUUCUGUCGUUAGCAUAUGCUAUUAAUAUUAAUUAUCAUCAGCUGUUGGAUUUGUAUUUUUGUUCGUAGUUGGUAAUAGACUAAAUCAAAUAUCAAUGCAUAUGUCAAUGUAAAGUAGUAUAAAACGAUGGCAGAUGAAAUUGAAAAUAAAAACUGAUUGGAAUGAACGACUUUUUUCCAUCUCAUUGGAUCCCUUCUUAUAUUUCUGCAGGAAACGGCGAACAGCCGCGGCGUAAGAGCAUCAUUAACCCUAUAAUCUUUAUGGGUUUUUUAAUUUUUUUUUUCCUUUUUGUUUGAUUAAAAAAAAAUUAAUUAAAAGGCGAAUCAAUCGCAGAUCGCCACGUUUCAGUGUGGUCCGCAAACAGUGCAAAAAUCCCAUAAAGAUCAAUCCUUAUUUUGUUGUUUCUAUCAUCGGUUUUUAUAAUUUUCGGUGGAGUCCGCCACUAGUUUUGGUUAAGAAACCCUUUUAAAUCCUACGAUAAUCAUGGUCUAAUUGUUGUUUGGUGGAGCUUCCUGAUUAUACAAUAAAUAACUUUUUAUAAAAAUAAACGAAAAAAUCAGCUAUAUUAAUUUUCAGAACUGUAGGCUCUCUUUAUUGUUCACUAUUCUGAAAAAAGGUUUAAAUUGUGAUGGCUGUGUGCAUUUAAAUUGAAUACUGUUUAAUGAUAUUAUGUUGUUACUUUCUCUAUUAUCUUAUUUUGUAAAUUCAAAGUAGUGUCUACUGAAUAUAUUCAACAUUUAAUUUCCAAAUGCUUUGUUUGUAAAAUCUAGAUACAUAUUUUUUUUUUGUCAUCAGAUACAUGUUUAUAAUGUAGAUUUUAAUGUUUUUUUUGGUAUUUACUACUAAUCAAAUUAAUAGCAUAUUUGAAAUAUUGAUAAACUACGUGCAACAUAUAUGAUAUUAAUAAACAACUUUACGGACAAUGUUUUACGAAAUAUAUUUUUCUCUAAUAUUUGAUUGACGGACGAUUUUGUAUUUACGACAUUCUUGAUGAAUAUAUAAUAUUCACAACAUACAAUCAUAAUGAACGGUUGUGCUUGUUGCACUCAAAAACUUAUAAACUUUACACCAUAUAAUCUAUAAAAAAAAAUAUAUAUUCUGUGAAUCAAAUUUUAAACUUGGUGUAAAAAAAUUAAAUAACUAUCCACUAAAUUACGAGUCCUCCCGGAAAAACAGAAAUGAUAUGAUGUAUUCAGUGUUAACAUAUAUAUAUAUGCGUGUGUGUGUGUGUGAAAUGUAAUACAAAUUGAGAUGAAUGAAGUAUUUGACGAUUAUAUUUAUCCCAGAGAGAUUAGUCGAACCUCAACCAGUUGCAUGUUUUUUUUUAUUAAAAUAAAAUGAAAUUUUACAUAGAUGUGAAAGUAAUCUUAUGAGUGGUUCCAUUAGUUGCACUGAUUUCUGAUUUAUUCGUUAGUUGUACGCAACUAUAUAUUGACUUGACCAUAAUCGUUUUGUUGUGAUAUUAACUAAAAUCUAAAGUAGUGAGAUAUUAACCCUUCUGAUGAGAUCGCAUCAACUGGUAACUUGCUGUUUAAGCUAUUUAGUUAACUAAAAUAGAUAUAUAAAUGUAAUCUCUUUAAUUCUCAAUGUGUUAAGAGUGUCAAAUGACGAAAACUUGUUGUGAAUCCCUAAAGAUUCCCUUAUCCAAAUUUCACCCACAUUCACAUGAUAAUGUAUUUUUAUUAUCAUGCUAGAUCGCUGCAUUUACUUUUGGGAGUUUAGGCUUUAAUAUUUUUGCUCGUCUAGACACUAACUUAACCAUAAUUAGAUAUAAGGGGGACUGCCGAGAUGAUCAUGGCCCAGUGGCCAUGCCUUGCGACAAAGUUCACCUUGGCAUCAAGGGUUCAAUCUCUCCUCUGCUCCAAUGGAAGGAGCCUCCCCUUCUUGGGGUUAAUGGGCUAACGGGCCGGCCCGUUGUGGCCCGAAGUUGACAAAAAAAAAGAUAUAAGGGAGACUUUUCUGGAAAAACAUGGAAGCUAUAGGUACACAUAAAUCUGUAGUAGAGUAUAAAAACGAUUAUGAAAAGACAAAAUACUGAAUUUAAAAUGUUGUUAACAAGUAAAAUUUCGUUAGAAUAAAUUUAAUAUUAUGUUACUU